rnacentral:rRNA from 1 species
CACCGCGGUUAUACGAAAGACCCUAGUUGAUAAACACGGCGUAAAGGGUGGUUAAGGAAAACAAAUAAUAAAGCUAAAGACCCUCUAAGCUGUCAUACGCAUCCCGAGAGCACGAAACCCGAGCACGAAAGUAGCUUUAAACAUUAUUACCUGACUCCACGAAAGCUAAGAAACAAACUGGGAUUAGAUACCCCACUAUGCUUAGCUAUAAACCUAGAUGUUCCCUUACACAAACAUCCGCCCGGGUACUACGAGCACAGCUUAAAACCCAAAGGACUUGGCGGUGUCUCAGACCCACCUAGAGGAGCCUGUUCUAGAACCGAUAACCCCCGUUAAACCUCACCACUUCUUGUUUUCCCCGCCUAUAUACCGCCGUCGUCAGCUUACCCUGUGAAGGUUUAAUAGUAAGCAAAAUGGGCCCGCCCAAAAACGUCAGGUCGAGGUGUAGCGUACGAAGUGGGAAGAAAUGGGCUACAUUUUCUAUACAUAUAGAAUAUUACGAAUGACAUAUUGAAAUAAAUGUCUGAAGGUGGAUUUAGCAGUAAAAAACAAACAGAGUGUCCUUUUGAAUUAGGCUCUGAGACGCGCACACACCGCCCGUCACUCUCCCCACAUUUAUAACUACCCAAUAUAUAAUAAAACACAUAAUUACACGGGGAGGCAAGUCGUAACAUGGUAAGUGUACCGGAAGGUGCACUUGGAACAAUCAGGACGUGGCUGAG